rnacentral:rRNA from 2 species
UCGAUCUCAAAUCAAGU